CGCGUAGACGGUUGUCUAAGUCUGGAGUGAAAGUCCUGCUUUCAAGGUGGGAAUUGCUUUGGAGACUGAAUGACUUGAGUGCGGAAGAGGUAAGUGGAAUUCCCAGUGUAGCGGUGAAAUGCGUAGAGAUUGGGAGGAACACCAGUGGCGAAGGCGACUUACUGGGCCGUAACUGACGUUGAUGCGCGAAAGCGUGGGGAGCGAACA
rnacentral:rRNA from 1 species